AUUAUUCAUCCAUACAUGCCUCCAGGAAUACAAAAAUACUACUGAAACAGCAUAGCAAUCUCACCAGAUACUACUUUGAAUUACAACUACUAAACAGUGGUUUGAAGGAACCUAAGAAACAUACUGCAGUGCACUACCAGCAUUCAACCUUCAUGAAGCCUUUCAAGAUGGGCAUCUGUACAACAUUAUCCAGUCAACCUUUAUGGCUGACAUGAAGAACAGCAUGAGAAGUUCACUGGAAACGCAUCAACCACCAGCAAACAACAACUCUGCCCCUAUUUACUCAACUGGGC
rnacentral:lncRNA from 1 species